UACGGAGGAUGCGAGCGUUAUCCGGAUUUAUUGGGUUUAAAGGGUGCGUAGGCGGACUGUCAAGUCAGCGGUAAAAUUGAGAGGCUCAACCUCUUCCCGCCGUUGAAACUGGUGGUCUUGAGUGGAUGAGAAGUACGCGGAAUGCGUGGUGUAGCGGUGAAAUGCAUAGAUAUCACGCAGAACUCCGAUUGCGAAGGCAGCGUACCGGCGCCCAACUGACGCUGAAGCACGAAGGCGUGGGUAUCGAACAGG
rnacentral:rRNA from 1 species